CCCAUUCCGCACCCCUAUUACCUCAAACCAAACGCCGACAAGUUGAUCUCACAGGUAAUCCGUCGCGGUGUUUCUAUCGUAGCAUAGGGUUUGCGACAGCUGCGCGGCCCUCCGACGAUCGCGUAAUGGCGUGGGGGCGACGAAACCGUGGGACUGGAUGUAGCCUCCGCCGGCCUCCAUGUCACCGAGCGCAUCGGCAGGGACGUCGCCGGCCGCCUCGACCUCGAGGAGGCUAUCGAAGCCUCGCUCUAUGCUAGCCUCCCCCUACUCCACCCUCCCCAAAGAGGAACUCCUGUUCUUAUAGGAGAAAAGGAAAUUUUGGAGAAGUAUAUUUUGGUUGCUUCUGUUAGAAAGAUUAUUCUGUGUGAAGCUCUUUCUAGAGGUGGAGUUGCAGAAGCAUGUUCUGUAGUAAAGAGGGUCGGUUCAAAUAUCUAUACUGGAGUGGAGGGUCGCUUGUCUUUAGAGAUUAUUUAUCUUCAUCUUGAAAUGGCUGCUUCAGUAAAAUUUGUGUUCUCACCCCAAUUGUUCUUUAUUAAAGUUCAACUUUUCUGUUAAUAUUUGUAUAUCUAUUAAUUUUCUGUUUUACUUGUCUAGCAAUGUAUGAAUAUUCUACAAACAGGCCUCAUCAUACGUGCUAGAGCCCUUCUUGCUGCUUGUAAGGUUGAACCAAAGCCUGUAUUAAGCACAUAUGAUCAGCUUUUAUCAUAUGGAGCUAUUUUACCUUCGCCAAACCUGAAACUUCGCUGUCUGAGAUCUGUUCUUGCUGUACUCUGUGAGUGGGUUGGGUCUGUAUUUGCACAUACAUUAGGGACCACAGCUGUUGGCGCUUCUCCAAUCCUUGGUGGAUUACUCUUGUUACAACAGACAACAAUCAUCAACCAAGGAGCUCGAGAUAAGAUAACCAGUUUAGCAAAUGGGCAUACGGUCUCGUUAUGUGAAGGGUUUAGGUCCAUUACCUAAACUAUCUGUAGUGGGUGGUUCUAGAGCCACAAACAUCAGUUUAAAACAUCAUGAUGAUUAUGGAAAAUUUGCAACUAUGCAGAAAACAAUCGAUGAACAGAAUCUGACUAUACGUGAGUAGCAUCAAAAAUUUGAAGCAUUAUUGCACCAACUUCAACAGGUCAAUUCCUGGCUUCUCAUUCCAGCCUCCACCAACAUGCUAUUCAAUUCGACCUCCUCCACCACCUCCCUCGCCUCCAUUAUCGACUAUGUAAUUUUUUAUUUUGCAACAUUAUGUAAUGCACAUUUUACUACUCAUGUUCUUUUGGAUAAUAUUUGACUAGCUGUGUUCAUGUUUUAAAAAUAUUUGACUAAUUAAUAGUAAAUUGCACU